rnacentral:rRNA from 1 species
UACGGAGGGUGCGAGCGUUGUUCGGAAUUACUGGGCGUAAAGCGCGCGUAGGCGGUUUGUUAAGUCAGAUGUGAAAGCCCUCGGCUCAACCGGGGACGUGCAUUUGAAACUGGCAGACUUGAGUACUGGAGGGGGUGGUGGAAUUCCCGGUGUAGAGGUGAAAUUCGUAGAUAUCGGGAGGAAUACCGGUGGCGAAGGCGACCACCUGGCCAGAUACUGACGCUGAGGUGCGAAAGCGUGGGGAGCAAAC